UACGGCCGUAUCCCAUUGAAACACCGGUUCCCGUAUGAUCACCGAAGUUAAGCAACCUCGAGCCAUGUCAGUACCUAGAUGGGUGACCGCUUGGGAAUACCA
rnacentral:rRNA from 1 species